AACGAACGCUGGCGGCAUGCCUAACACAUGCAAGUCGAACGUGAUCCAUGACUUCGGUUGUGGUGAAAGUGGCAAACGGGUGAGUAACGCGUGGGAACCUGCCCAGAGGUAGGGAAUAACCGCGGGAAACUGCGGCUAAUACCCUAUGUGCCCUACGGGGCAAAGAUUUAUCGCCUUUGGAGGGGCCCGCGUCGGAUUAGGUAGUUGGUAGGGUAACGGCCUACCAAGCCUACGAUCCGUAGCUGGUCUGAGAGGAUGAUCAGCCACACUGGGACUG
rnacentral:rRNA from 1 species